AUUGAACGCUGGCGGCAUGCUUUACACAUGCAAGUCGAACGGCAGCGCGGGCUUCGGCCUGGCGGCGAGUGGCGAACGGGUGAGUAAUACAUCGGAACGUGCCCAGCAGUGGGGGAUAGCUCGGCGAAAGCCGGAUUAAUACCGCAUACGACCUGAGGGUGAAAGCGGGGGAUCUUCGGACCUCGCGCUAUUUGAGCGGCCGAUGGCAGAUUAGCUAGUUGGUGGGGUAAAGGCCUACCAAGGCGACGAUCUGUAGCUGGUCUGAGAGGACGACCAGCCACACUGGGACUGAGACACGGCCCAGACUCCUACGGGAGGCAGCAGUGGGGAAUUUUGGACAAUGGGCGAAAGCCUGAUCCAGCAAUGCCGCGUGUGUGAUGAAGGCCUUCGGGUUGUAAAGCACUUUUGGCGGGAAAGAAAAGGACUGUGCCAAUACCACGGUUCGAUGACGGUACCCGCAGAAUAAGCACCGGCUAACUACGUG
rnacentral:rRNA from 1 species